rnacentral:rRNA from 1 species
UUAUGUGCUUGCACAUUUUGGACGUCGACCGGCGCACGGGUGAGUAUCGCGUAUCCAACCUGCCCUUUACUUGGGGAUACCCCGUUGAAAGACGGCCUAAUACCCGAUGUAAUUCAUUGAUGGCAUCAGAUAUGAAUAAAAGAUUUAUCGGUAAAGGAUGGGGAUGCGUCUGAUUAGCUUGUUGGUGAGGUAAUGGCUCACCAAGGCAACGAUCAGUAGGGGUUCUGAGAGGAAGGUCCCCCACAUUGGAACUGAGACACGGUCCAAACUCCUACGGGAGACAGCAGUGAGGAAUAUUGGUCAAUGGGCGCAAGCCUGAACCAGCCAAGUAGCGUGCAGGAAGACGGCCCUAUGGGUUGUAAACUGCUUUUAUACGAGAAUAAUUUGAUGCACGUGUGCGUUAUUGCAUGUAUCGUAUGAAUAAGGACCGGCUAAUUCCGUGCCAGCAGCCGCGGUAAUACGGAAGGUCCAGGCGUUAUCCGGAUUUAUUGGGUUUAAAGGGAGUGUAGGCGGUUUGUUAAGCGUGUUGUGAAAUUUAGAUGCUCAACAUUUAACUUGCAGCGCGAACUGUCAGACUUGAGUACACGCAACGUAUGCGGAAUUCAUGGUGUAGCGGUGAAAUGCUUAGAUAUCAUGAAGAACUCCGAUUGCGAAGGCAGCAUACGGGAGUGUAACUGACGCUUAAGCUCGAAGGUGCGGGUAUCGAACAGGAUUAGAUAACCUGGUAGUCCGCACAGUAAACGAUGGAUGCCCGCUGUUAGCGCCUGGCGUUAGCGGC